GCUCACUUUGGCGGUACAUAUAUUAAAAUUGGAAUGAUACUGAAAGAUUAGCUUGGUCCCUGUGCAAUGAUGACAUGCAGAUUUGUGAAGCAUUCUAUAUUUUU